CUAGGAUUCAGAAAUAUAAUUUGUUACAUUAAUUGUAUGCUUCUACUCGCUCAUCGAGAUGAAAAGGAAAUAAUGAUAAACAAAUCUGCAGUACACAUCAUUUGCUCUUUAUAAAUUUAAGCCACUUGUGCUCUUACCAACUGAUACAUUCAUGUUUAUUUUUUUUCAAAAAAGAUUAAAAGUCUUCUCAUUUCCUGCUCUUUGGAUACCACUACCAGCAUGCAUUCUUGAUUUCUGCAGCCUAAGUCAGCACCAACAGGAAAUUGCCCAAAUCAUACAACUAGUCCCCAAUUGUACAAUGCAGUUCGUUGCCCGCACAAUUUUCUAAACAGCUGUUUGUAAUAAAAAAGAGGUUAGAUUCCUUUCUUGACUUGAUCUUCAAACUUGAAAGUCGUAUGAUUGGCUAAUAAACACUCCUAUGAGGGAUUCAUUUAGGAAUUUGGAGUCAGAAGUGUAAUGAAGAAGAGGAUGCUUCUCACCAGGAGAUGAUGCCAAAAAGGAGAUUUUUCUGGUAUUGGUCUUGCUCCUUUUGUCUUAAUUUCUUCUCAGCAGGUUAUCAUAAGUGUUGUCCACUACCAAUCACGAGGUCUUGAGAUAUGAUUAGACAUAAAUCUCUUCCUUAUGCACAUAAAGGUUAAGGUGAACAAUGUUUAGAUCAUACAAAAUGUGAAUCAAGCAUGGAGUAGAUGCUUCAGAGGAAAGAGCUGUUAAGAAGAAAUUGGGGAUCUUGGUCAAUGAUCACUUGUAGCGGUUCUCUAAAAAGUUCAGAUUAGUCCAUGUUUCAUUCAUUUUUUUAUUUUUUAUUUUUUUUGUGCAGAGCAACCUUACGGUGAAUCUAUUAAAGACCAGGAAGAAAAGAUGGGCAAAAUGCCGUCACAGAAGGACCUUUUUGAGGUUUCAGGACCAACGCACUUGACAUAUGUGAAUUGGUAACUUGC
rnacentral:lncRNA from 1 species